rnacentral:rRNA from 1 species
UACGAGGGGGGCAAAUGUUGUUCGGAAUCACUGGGCGUAAAGGGAGCGUAGGCGGGUUUCUAAGUCAGGUGUUUAAUCCCGGGGCCCAACCCCGGACGAGGCACUUGAAACUGGGAAUCUUGAAUAGUGGAGAGGUCAGUGGAAUUGGGGGUGUAGCGGUGGAAUGCGUAGAGAUCCCCAAGAACACCAGUUGCGAAGGCGGCUGACUGGACACAUAUUGACGCUGAGGCUCGAAAGCAUGGGGAGCAAACAGG